CCCACCUUGACUCCUUUAGCCACACAUGCAGAGUCAUGGGAAGAUCUUACUGGAAGAGCGAACACUGAGGAACCCUUUUUCCAGCGAAGUAACGCAUCGCCUGGCGCACGCUAGAGGCAGACGGCGCUCAUGUCCCACGCUGCUCAAACUUCUUCUCCUGCGGGGAGAAAGAU